CACGUAGGAGGCAAGCGUUAUUCGGAUUUACUGGGCGUAAAGCGCGUGCAGGCGGUUUGGUAAGUUGGAUGUGAAAGCUCCUGGCCUAACUGGGAGAGGUCGUUCAAUACUACCAGACUAGAGUAUGGGAGAGGGAGGUGGAAUUCCGGGUGUAGUGGUGAAAUGCGUAGAUAUCCGGAGGAACACCAGUGGCGAAAGCGGCCUCCUGGCCCAUUUCUGACGCUCAGACGCGAAAGCUAGGGUAGCAAACGGG
rnacentral:rRNA from 1 species